UACGUAGGGUGCAGGCGUUAAUCGGAAUUACUGGGCGUAAAGCGUGCGCAGGCGGUCUUUUAAGUCAGGUGUGAAAUCCCCGGGCUUAACCUGGGAACUGCGUUUGAAACUGGAAGGCUAGAGUGUGGCAGAGGGGGGUGGAAUUCCACGUGUAGCAGUGAAAUGCGUAGAGAUCGGGAGGAACAUCCGUGGCGAAGGCGACUACCUGGACCAGCACUGACACUGAGGCACGAAAGCGUGGGGAGCAAACAGG
rnacentral:rRNA from 1 species